GGAUCCAGACUUUGAUCAUGGCUCAGGAUGAACGCUAGCUACAGGCUUAACACAUGCAAGUCGAGGGGCAGCAUGAACUUAGCUUGCUAAGUUUGAUGGCGACCGGCGCACGGGUGAGUAACACGUAUCCAACCUGCCGAUGACUCGGGGAUAGCCUUUCGAAAGAAAGAUUAAUACCCGAUGGCAUAGUUCUUCCGCAUGGUAGAACUAUUAAAGAAUUUCGGUCAUCGAUGGGGAUGCGUUCCAUUAGGUUGUUGGCGGGGUAACGGCCCACCAAGCCUUCGAUGGAUAGGGGUUCUGAGAGGAAGGUCCCCCACAUUGGAACUGAGACACGGUCCAAACUCCUACGGGAGGCAGCAGUGAGGAAUAUUGGUCAAUGGACGAGAGUCUGAACCAGCCAAGUAGCGUGAAGGAUGACUGCCCUAUGGGUUGUAAACUUCUUUUAUACGGGAAUAAAGUGAGGCACGUGUGCCUUUUUGUAUGUACCGUAUGAAUAAGGAGCGGCUAACUCCGUGCCAGCAGCCGCGGUAAUACGGAGGAUCCGAGCGUUAUCCGGAUUUAUUGGGUUUAAAGGGAGCGUAGGCGGACGCUUAAGUCAGUUGUGAAAGUUUGCGGCUCAACCGUAAAAUUGCAGUUGAUACUGGGUGUCUUGAGUACAGUAGAGGCAGGCGGAAUUCGUGGUGUAGCGGUGAAAUGCUUAGAUAUCACGAAGAACUCCGAUUGCGAAGGCAGCCUGCUGGACUGUAACUGACGCUGAUGCUCGAAAGUGUGGGUAUCAAACAGGAUUAGAUACCCUGGUAGUCCACACAGUAAACGAUGAAUACUCGCUGUUUGCGAUAUACAGUAAGCGGCCAAGCGAAA
rnacentral:rRNA from 1 species